rnacentral:tRNA from 1 species
GUAGACAUAGUUUAAACAAAACGUUAGAUUGUGAUUCUAGAAACGGAGGUUAAAGCCCUCUUGUCCACC